rnacentral:rRNA from 1 species
UACGUAGGGGGCAAGCGUUAUCCGGAUUUACUGGGUGUAAAGGGAGCGUAGACGGCCAGACAAGUCCGAAGUGAAAAUCCAGCGCUUAACGUUGGAAGUGCUUUGGAAACUGCCGGGCUGGAGUGCAGGAGGGGCAGGCGGAAUUCCUAGUGUAGCGGUGAAAUGCGUAGAUAUUAGGAGGAACACCAGUGGCGAAGGCGGCCUGCUGGACUGCAACUGACGUUGAGGCUCGAAGGCGUGGGGAGCAAACAGG